UUGCUCACUUCCGCAGCACAUGGACUAAAAUUGGAACGAUACAGAGAAGAUCAGCAUGGCCCCUGCACAAGGAUGACACACAAAUUCAUGAAGUGUUUCAUUUUAAA
rnacentral:snRNA from 1 species